UUUACCGAAGAAAGGAAAAGGAGAAGAGAAAAAUGGUGGUAAGUAGUAGCAGUGCAUUCAGAUCUUCAUUGAGAUCAUUUUUAUUACCAACGAAAGCGACGAAACUAUCAUUAGGCAACAGAAUUACCCUGCUUCCACUUUUUAAUGUUGCUGCUCUUUCAUCUCAAGUUACUUAUCCUAUCAAGUCAUAGAUGUCACUUUGUGUUGGAACACAUCUUAUACCUCAUCCAAACAAGAUUGAAAGGGGAGGAGAAGAUGUUUUUUCAUAAGCAGCCAUGGCGGUGGAGCUAUAGCUGUUGCAGAUGGAGUGUCAGGGUAUGCAGUAUGCAUACUUCCUUACUCUUUACUAACUGAUACUGCCUGAAUAGUCGAAUAUAUAUACUUUGUGUUGCGACUGCUGCCAUUACUGUGGCAGGUGGGCAGAACGCGAUGUUGAUCCUGCAUUGUUUUCUAGGGAGCUGAUGGCACAUGCAUCAUCAGUGGUGGAUAGCAGUGAUUGAUCAAGCUAGAAAUUCCUCUGUUUUCAAAGCUUAUCUUUACCUUAUUGGUAUUAAUUUUAAGAUUUUGAGAAUCCAAAAGCAAGCACUAAAUCAAUUAAAAUGAAACAAAUUGUUUUUGUCCAUUACAAUUCUCUUUAAUAUAGUUUGAGGAGCUAUUCAUAGUAUUUGUGCAUUCAAAUAACGGAAUAUAUGACAACUCAACAAUUGCUUAAUAUAAAUACUUCCUUCUCCGUUUCUUUUUAGUUUUAAUAUUUGCUACAAAUAAAAACAAG